rnacentral:rRNA from 1 species
AUUGAACGCUGGCGGCAGGCCUAACAUAUGCAAGUCGAGCGAGCGGCGGACGGGUGAGUAAUGCCUAGGAAUCUGGCUUAUGGAGGGGGAUAACUACGGGAAACAGUUGCUAAUACCGCGUACUAUAAGAUGAGCCCAGGUGGGAUGAGGUAGUUGGUGAGGUAAAGGCGUACCAAGCCGACGAUCUCUAACUGGGCUGAGAGGAUGACCAGCCAAACGGGGGCUGAGUCACGGACCAGAUGCCUACGGGAGGGAGCAGGGGGGAAGAUGGAGCAAUGGGGGAUACCUGAAGCAGCGAUGCCGGGUGAAUGAAGAAGGCCUUCAGGUUGUAAAGUGCUUUCGGUUGCGAGGGGUUAGCUACAGAAGAAGCACCGGGUAACUCCGAGCCAGCAGCCGCGGUAAUAC